GUGAUUUAAUUUUUUAUUUAUAUAUGAUAGUAAUAAAUAUUAUAGUGAUUUUAUUUAUUUUUUAUAUAUAAGAGUGAUAAAUAUUAUAGUGAUUUUAUUUUUUAUUUAUAUAUAAUAGUGAUAAAUAUUAUAGUGAUUUUUGGAGAGACUUUGGUACGAAGAUGGUUCACUGUGUUUGGCAUGUGGAAUAUUUUCAUCCGUACGAGAAUACUUAAAAAGUGUUGAGAUAUCUUCGCUACCCAAACAUAGCCACUUAAAUAUUAUCUGAAGAGCCUGACCCAAUUGGCCAU